rnacentral:rRNA from 1 species
AUGGGGGGAACCCUGACCGAGCAACGCCGCGUGAGUGAAGAAGGUUUUCGGAUCGUAAAGCUCUGUUGUUAAGGAAGAACGAGUGUGAGAAUGGAAAGUUCAUACUGUGACGGUACUUAACCAGAAAGGGACGGCUAACUACGUGCCAGCAGCCGCGGUAAUACGUAGGUCCCGAGCGUUGUCCGGAUUUAUUGGGCGUAAAGCGAGCGCAGGCGGUUAGAAAAGUCUGAAGUGAAAGGCAGUGGCUCAACCAUUGUAGGCUUUGGAAACUGUUUAACUUGAGUGCAGAAGGGGAGAGUGGAAUUCCAUGUGUAGCGGUGAAAUGCGUAGAUAUAUGGAGGAACACCGGUGGCGAAAGCGGCUCUCUGGUCUGUAACUGACGCUGAGGCUCGAAAGCGUGGGGAGCGAACAGGAUUAGAUACCCUGGUAGUCCACGCCGUAAACGAUGAGUGCUAGGUGUUAGGUCCUUUCCGGGACUUAGUGCCGCAGCUAACGCAUUAAGCACUCCGCCUGGGGAGUACGACCGCAAGGUUGAAACUCAAAGGAAUUGACGGGGGCCCGCACAAGCGGUGGAGCAUGUGGUUUAAUUCGAAGCAACGCGAAGAACCUUACCAGGUCUGGACAU